AGGCGCGUAGCUCAGUUGGUUAGAGCGCUGCCUCGACAAGGCAGAGGUCCUCGGUUCGAAUCCGAGCGUUCCUACCA
rnacentral:tRNA from 1 species